GGGCGUGUGGCUCAGUUGGUAGAGCGUUCGCUUAGCAUGGAUUCCUGGGUCACACCACCUUGGUUUACCAGGGUGCUGACCUGGGGUAUGAAGUACUUGCCUCAGCUUGAAUGCGAAAGGUCCUGGGUUCGAUUCCCAGCUCGUCCA